GGGAGGAAUCAAAUCCAGAUCGUAAGAAAAGAGAGAAAACCUGCUCCCUUCGUACUCAAAAAAAUCAACCACUCACCUGCUACCAACAUCACUGAUAUCACCAUCUCAUAUCUAACCUUCUUAUCGUUCACCACCCUUCCGCCUUCCUUUGUUCAAGAUUAUAAUCACCACCUCUUCAUCUUAUAUCAUCCCCGCCAUCUUCAACAAGCUCAUCGAAAUUCCCUCUCUCUACAACACCCGCUGAAUCGCCAUCACCUUGCCUCCAUAUCUCCAUCACCGGUCGGUACUUCCUCUCUUCUGUAA